CAGUGACAGAGACCCAGAAACGUCCCUGGCCCAGCGAGAACCAUCGCAGGAAGCCAGCUUCCUCCAAGCUGGGCAGCCAGAGGCUGUGACGUCAGCCUCACCAAGAAACCAGGGCUGCCGCAGGGCUGCCAGAAGAUGACUUUCAUUUCUGCUAAGAUUCGGUCACUUGAGCCCAGCGCAGAACAUUCCAACCAAUAAAAUCACCCCAAAGAAGUAGUUGGACGGCAGUAGUGAAGACAAAAACCAAAUUGGAGAGGACGAAGGCCCUGAGGUCCAAGAACAUUGAAACCUGACAGUGGAUGCCAACAGCUGCGGGGAGGAGCCUGGUGAGACGCCCACGCUGCCACGUGCCCAGCAACGUUGGAGCCUGCAGCGCUUUUCCUCUGCCCUGCUCUAUUUUAUCUUUUUUAAUAAAGAUGGUUCCUGAUAAAUGACCGUUUCCUGCAAAUCUUGUAGUAGCAUUGGAAAAGUGGCAGGUGGGUCACAGACACUCUGCUGCUUUGCGCCCUCCCUGCACAGAAAGGGGGCUGUGCAAACCCUAGUUUAGGCGGCAGGCAGUCAUAUGAUCCUCUCAGUUACUCAGAAAAAUUGAAAGGAAAAGAGACCUCAGGGAAGUAUCAGGAUGACCCCACCCACAGCAAAUCAUUAUUAGUGGCUCUGAAGGGCUGAGGCUCUGAGUGGGUGCAGGGCAGAGUCCCACACAUUGCCCAUGGCCUCUCCACACUCACACUGCCUGGUGAACAUUUUCAGAAGGACCAGCGGCCCCUUCAGGUCCCGUCUGCCUGUGUUAAUCAUGCUGAGAGGUUCCCAGGAGGAUCCCGAAGGCCUGGGAACCAGUUGUGCUGGGGUCAGAGUGACGGGGGUGUGGUCCCCAAAGUGCCUUAGGGGGCCACUUGUGCUGCUGGGCUCCUGGCUGUCUAGUGUGGCAUUGGCCUUUCUGCUGCGAUGGUUUCCCCUUUUGCUAAAAGUGGCACGGAGCCAUCCCCCUCAGAGGCCUGACGGAGGAGUGAGCCUUCAUCCAGGCCCAGGUUGAAGGGGUGCUUCUGGGUGAGGCAGGUGUCCUGGGGGUCUGGGGAGGGUUGAUGGCAAGACACAGCAGCAGCCCCGAGGGAUGGAGGGGGUGAUGGGAAUGGGGGCUUUCAUAAGGCAGGUUCCAGUUUCCCAGGAACCCAGUGUUUCCAUUUCAGGCAGUGAAUCUAUGGGUGCAGAUGCCCAUCAGCACCUAUCAGGGAGCUUCUUC
rnacentral:lncRNA from 1 species